rnacentral:tRNA from 3 species
GGGGAGAUACUCAAGAGGCCGAAGAGGAAGCAUUGCUAAUGCUUUAGGACGUAAUUACGCGUCGCGAGGGUUCGAAUCCCUCUCUCUCCG